UACGAAGGGGGCUAGCGUUGCUCGGAAUUACUGGGCGUAAAGGGCGCGUAGGCGGAUAUCUAAGUUGGGGGUGGAAUCCCGGGGCUCAACCUCGGAAUUGCCUUCAAAACUGGAUAUCUUGAGUUCGGGAGAGGUGAGUGGAACUCCGAGUGUAGAGGUGAAAUUCGUAGAUAUUCGGAAGAACACCAGUGGCGAAGGCGACUCACUGGCCCGAUACUGACGCUGAGGCGCGAAAGCGUGGGGAGCAAACAGG
rnacentral:rRNA from 1 species